UGCAGACUGGUGUGUCCAGGCCUGAAUUCUGGCAAUGGAUUGCUGGUUGGAAAGAAGCAGCACCACUUCCUGCUUGGCUUAUAAAAAUCUCCCAAGUACGUUCUUCUCUUAUUUUCUCCAUCUGCUGGCUUACUGGGGAGGACUCCAGAGCCCUAUGAGAAAUAAGAACUUUAAGACAGAAGAAGCCUGGAACAGAGCCUGCUGCUACCCCAUCAGAUGUAAGCAAGAAAUAACAUUUAUUUGGGCCCCAGUUGACCUUGAUGGGGUACUGUUCAAUGGUGUGAAUUUCCCUUCCGUGAGGUUCCAUCCGUCAGACUGAACUCUGCCUGCUUGGAGACUGCCUCCCAGAUUCACCGCCAGCAUCAGCACACGGGGUGGGAGAGUCACGAGGCCCAGCCAAGUCAGCUGCACUAGCUCUACCAGGACCCUGAGGAAGAACUGGGAUUUCAAACCUGUGAACGCCAACUGGAGUAAAGCCCAUCGUGAAUUGCUCAGCUCUUCCCCGCUGUAGCUGAUUCUCCUUGAAGAUGUGGAUUGUUUUCAGAUCUCCUUUAAGAUGAAGUUUGUUUGUGCAGUUAUUAUUUCUCUACAAAGAACUUCACAGCUUUCGGAUCUUUAUAAAUCUGAAGGCCAACAGAAGAUAUUCGGGAGUCAUCCACUUGGGGAAGCCUAAUAGCCUUGCAGAACACAAAGCUGUGGUUCUGUGUGAACGCUGAAGAGCAUUGAUUUUUCACACAAGAUGAAGAACACAGGCGCUUCCUGAGAGAAGUGAACAACUUUUGUGAAGCUCUGUGUGGCUGACAGGGUCUUGGUGCUCCAGCCAGGUGUCAGGCCUGAGCCUCAGAGGUGGGAGAGCCAAGUUCAGGACAGUGGACCACCAGAGACAUACUGGCCCCACAGAUAUCAAUCAGUGAGAGCUCUACCAGAGAUCUCCAUCUCAACACUAAGACCCAGUUCCACUCAAUGACUAGCAAGCUCCAGUGCUAGCCACACCCCAUGCCAAACAACUAGCAAGACAGGAUCACAACCCCACCCAUUAGCAGAGAGGCUGCCUAAAAUUAUAAUAAGUUCACAGACACCUCAAAACACACCACUGGACUCUGUCCUGCCCACCAGAAAGACAAAAACCAGCCUCAUCCACCAGAACACAGGCACCAGUCCCCUCCACCAGGAGGCCUACACAACCCAUGGAACCAACCUUACCCACUGGGGCAGACACCAAAAGCAAAGGGAACAACAAACCUGCAGCCUGCGAAAGUGAGACCCCAAACUCAGUAAGUUAAGCAAAAUGAGAAGACAGAGAAAUACACAGCAGAUGAAGGAGCAAGGUAAAAACCCACCAGACCAAACAAAUGAAGAGUAAAUAGGCAGUCUACCUGAAAAAGAGUUCAGAGUAAUGAUAGCAAAGGUGAUCCAAAAUCUUGGAAAUAGAAUGGAGAAAAUACAAGAAACGUUUAACAAGGACCUAGAAGAACUAAAGAGCAAAUAGUGAUGAACAGCACAA